rnacentral:rRNA from 1 species
CUGGGAUUAGAUACCCCACUAUGCCUAACUAUAAACCCUGAUAAUACACUACAUAUUAUCCGCCCGGGUAUUACGAGCAUAAGCUUAAAACCCAAAGGACUUGGCGGUGCUUUAAACCCCCCUAGAGGAGCCUGUUCUACAACCGAUAAUCCCCGUUAAACCUUACCCUUUUUUGUUCUUCCCGCCUGUAUACCUCCGUCUCCAGCUUACCCUGUGAAGGGUUAAUAGUAAGCACAACUGGUUUCAUCCCCUAAACGUCAGGUCGAGGUGCAGCGUAUGAGAGGGUUAGUAGUGGGCUACAUUGACUAUUUUAGUAUAUUACGAACAAGGUGCUGAAACACCACUUUCAAAGGAGGAUUUAGCAGUAAGAGGG